GUUCGGUUGAGUGAAAUUGUAUUUGUAGGUGCUUCAACAAGUAGAGGUGAAUAGCAUUUUUGUUGUCCCCUCUAUGGAAGUUUGAGUGUGGAAAGACGCAUAAUGCAACCUUGGAAGGCUCUUGUUAAGAAUAUUACAGUUGAACAUUUGGUUGCCUAAUGGUGGUGUGGUCAUGGGUGAUCUUAUAAUGCUAUUCUAGAGGAUUUUGAUAUUAAAAGGGCGAUGAUGAGGGGACUGAAUAUUGAGAAUUUAGCCUUGAUUUCUAUCAUAUCAGAUGAGAAGCAAGAAGCAAAUCUCUUUAUGAAAAAGUAGAACAACCACUUAGAUUUAUGAGCCAAGCAUAAUUCUUAUCUACUUCCUCAACAUAGCCUAAAGAGGUGAAGGGAUGCAGUUUUGAUGGAAUGAAUAGGAAGAUUAAUUGGAAAAGCUCAGAUUCUCAGAAGGUACCAAUUUGGCUUUCUCCAGUCAAUUACUAGAGUUUCUAUUCUCACUGGUGUUUCCCAAGAUUUGAUGUGGGAAUAUUUGACCCAUCUGGGAGUGGGCUUCAGAUUUUGGAUUUGUGAAACCUUAUCUGAAUAAGUCCUUGUCUUCUCUGUCAUUUUUCUGUUUGGAUUUUACUGUCUUCAUCUGCAUUUUUCCGUUUUGGCCCUUAGUUUAUUGUUUGCAGAAGUUUUCAACUCAAACCAUACACCAUGUUUAAGGGGUAGAAGUUAGGUGCUGAUAGGUUGUAUAUGAAGUUGAUUAUAUUUGAAUAGAGAUUGAAUUGUGUUUCUAUCAAUUUCAGUUAACUACUA